UACGUAGGUGGCAAGCGUUGUCCGGAUUUACUGGGUGUAAAGGGUGCGUAGGCGGGUUAUCAAGUCAGCGGUAAAAUCGUGGAGCUCAACUCCAUCCAGCCGUUGAAACUGAUGAUCUUGAGUGGGCGAGAAGUAUGCGGAAUGCGUGGUGUAGCGGUGAAAUGCAUAGAUAUCACGCAGAACCCCGAUUGCGAAGGCAGCAUACCGGCGCCCUACUGACGCUGAGGCACGAAAGUGCGGGUAUCGAACAGG
rnacentral:rRNA from 1 species